GUUACAGCAGGUUAUCCUGAUCUGCUUCGUACUGAAAAGCACUGCUCCUGCUGGAGGCUCACAGGGAGGACAGAGAAGGAAUUUGUCACCCCGCAGCAAGCUGUCAGAGCUGCCAGAGACUCCUUGCCAUCUUUGUCACCUGCUGUUCUGUUCCUGAAUCUGGACACAUUCCUGUGGCUUACUCCCUCCUUGAAGCAGCAGACUGUGGGACGGGGGCCAUGCAGAGACACAGGGCUGCAGCCAGGGAUCUCCCAGCACGUCCUGCAGGAUGCAAUACUCCUCAGCUCAGGGCCUCCUCAUCCUCCUGGUCAUGUGCAGCAGGCCAAGGGGCCUUGCAUCCAGUGCAUGGAAUCCUCGAGCCAGAAGAAGGGUGUGAAUCAGCUUGGGGAUGUCCUGAACACGUGUGGUCCUAUGGUGUG
rnacentral:lncRNA from 1 species